rnacentral:rRNA from 1 species
ACGGCUCAGUAACACGUGGCUAACCUACCCUUAGGACGGGGACAACCCCGGGAAACUGGGGCUAACAUCUGAUAGGUGAGGAGGCCUGGAAUGGUUCCUCCCUGAAAAGGCGUUGAAACCAUGCUUUUCAGCGUCGCCUAAGGAUGGGGCCGCGCCCGAUCAGGUUGUUGGUGGGGUAACGGCUCACCAAGCCAUUAACCGGUACGGGCCGUGAGAGCGGGAGCCCGGAGAUGGGCACUGAGACAAGGGCCCAGGCCCUACGGGGCGCAGCAGUCGCGAAAACUCCGCAAUGCGCGAAAGCGUGACGGGGCUACCCCGAGUGCCGUCCGCUGAGGAUGGCUUUUCCCCGGUGUAAUGAGCCGGGGGAAUAAGGAGAGGGCAAGACUGGUGUCAGCCGCCGCGGUAAUACCAGCUCUCCGAGUGGUAGGGACAAUUAUUGGGCUUAAAGCGUCCGUAGCCGGCUUGGCAAGUCUCCUGUUAAAUUCAGCGACUUAAUCGUUGAGCCGCGGGAGAUACUACUAGGCUAGGAGGCGGGAGAGGCCGACGGUAUUCCCGGGGUAGGGGUGAAAUCCUAUAAUCCCGGGAGGACCACCAGUGGCGAAGGCUGUCGGCUAGAACGCGCUCGACGGUGAGGGACGAAAGCUGGGGGAGCGAACCGGAUUAGAUACCCGGGUAGUCCCAGCCGUAAACGAUGCGGGCUAGGUGUUGAGGUGGCUACGAGCCACUGCAGUGCCGCAGGGAAGCCAUUAAGCCCGCCGCCUGGGGAGUACGGCCGCAAGGCUGAAACUUAAAGGAAUUGGCGGGGGAG